rnacentral:misc_RNA from 1 species
GAUGAAGAACGCAGCGAAAUGCGAUAAGUAGUGUGAAUUGCAGAAUUCAGUGAAUCAUCGAAUCUUUGAACGCACAUUGCGCCCUUUGGUAUUCCUUAGGGCAUGCCUGUUCGAGCGUCAUUUAAACCUUCAAGCUCAGCUUGGUGUUGGGUGACUGUCCGCUUCACCGCGGACUCGCCUCAAAAUUAUUGGCGGCCGGUACAUUGGCUUCGAGCGCAGCAGAAACGCGAACUCGGGCCCGUCGUAUUGGCUCCCAGAAGCUAUCUUCACAAUUUUGACCUCGGAUCAGGUAGGGAUAACCGCUGAACUUAAGCAUAUCAAUAAGCGGAGGA